rnacentral:ncRNA from 1 species
CAUUGGUGAGAAUCCAAUGCCCCGAAAACCCAAGGUUUCCUCCGCAAGGUUCGUCCACGGAGGGUGAGUCAGGGCCUAAGAUCAGGCCGAAAGGCGUAGUCGAUGGACAACAGGUCAAUAUUCCUGUACUAGUGUUGACGUAAAAACACGACGGCCUGGGAGAUCUACUUAGCUCCACUGCAGUUCCAAAACUUGCUUUCGGGUUCAACGAUUAGCGGCUUUGUGUUGACGACUUUGUGUUGAGUAUAUUGAUUAAUUGUUCUAGCAUCAAUUGCGUUGAACUCUGCCCCCCAGGGAUAGGCUGUUGUCUUGUUAAUAUUGUCGGGAUGUUUCCACUGGAUAUGGGAGCCGAUGGAG